UCCAAACGUAUAGUGUGUGUCGCUUCGCUAUGGAAGUUCUGAACCGCACAGUGAAAAAAAUUAUGGGAUAACCCUUAUAUCCUAAAAAUAACUUGAAUACAAGAUCCACCGGCAACAAACUCACUAGAGCUGCUGGUAUGUUGAGAACAGACAUGACUGUAGAAUAUUUCACACAUCAGCAAACCAAGAACAGAGGCUGUCAUGCAGGCAGAAGGGGGUGCAAUGGAAUAUUAGGAAUGGAUAAAUAAACAUGGGUAAAUAGUAUGGCUGCAGUUUCUGGCCUUUUUGACUGUUCAAAAAUCCACCAUCACCUGGAUUACUGACUCAAAUAAUUUGGGAUUCACCACAGUUUGCAUCCUCACCUAGUACAGAAAUUCAAAGGAACUGACACCACCCCUAAGGCUACCAAGCUAAAGGCUGAAACUGAUCAAGUUCUGCAGUUCAACAUGGUUAACUGUACCUUUUUAACCCUUUCUCCUAAUUUAUGAGAAAAGGUUAUUUUAUUAUAUGCUAUUUUAGAAAACUUUAUUAUGAGCAGUGGUGGCAGGUGUUCAAGUGAGGACAUAGACGGUGGGAGCGGUCUGAUUAUUACAUGGUAUGGUGAAUGAAUUUAUUCUAUUCAACUCCCAAAUAUUCCUACUCCUCCUCCACAGUAUUUUACUGAAUCAAAAUAUUUUGAUAGGCAAAAUCAAAAUAUAAACCAAUUGAAUAAUUCCCACUGCCUAAAGUCACUGCUUCCAUUAACUUUGACCAGCUUGACUGCCUUUUAGAAACCCUGUGUACAGUAGGCACCCAGGAUGAAUUGUUAACUUUACACAAUUUGUUAGAAAGGGCUCACUGGACUUGGACUGAAAAAUGUGAAUGUUCAAAUGGGUCAUGCUUUAACAAACACCAUAGGUUCUGCCAAUGCUCAGCCUUUUGUUCCAGACCACGGCCUUCUUUAGUUCUGUCAUACCAGUUGUGGCUGGAGCUUUGGCCAUGCCAGUUUCUAUUUCUGCCGCCUCUGUUUGUUACCCCUUCAAGUCUCCUAUGCUAUCCCUUCUGUUUCAGUCAUGCCCGUUGUAGCUGCUUCCUGAGCCUUUGAUUCUGCUUGCCCUUCUGUCUCCUCAGCCUCUGUUUCAGUCGCAACAGUUACACAGAGCGCCUCUGUCAUGCCUGUUUCAGCUAUCCCUGCAACUACCUCUGCAUCAGUCUUGCCAGUUGAAGUAGGUCCCUCUGCUUCGGCCAGGCCAGCUGCUGCCAGCUCUUCAACUGCCUGCAGUGAUGACAAUCACAACAUUUUUCAUCAAAUCAACAGUCCAUUGUUAUACUGAAAUAAGACACCCAUUAAAUUUUGCUGAUGCCUAUGAACUGGAAUCUUAUGAGGAGGUAUUUAAUAGUAUUCAUGAGACACUGCAAGGAAUUCUGGGUAGUCUUUCUGGUACUUUAAAUCCGACUGAUGUUCAACAGCAACAU